rnacentral:rRNA from 1 species
AACGAACGCUGGCGGCAGGCCUAACACAUGCAAGUCGAGCGAAGCCUUCGGGCUUAGCGGCGGACGGGUGAGUAACGCGUGGGAACGUGCCCCGUGCUACGGAAUAGCCCCGGGAAACUGGGAGUAAUACCGUAUGUGCCCUUCGGGGGAAAGAUUUAUCGGCAAAGGAUCGGCCCGCGUUGGAUUAGGUAGUUGGUGGGGUAAUGGCCUACCAAGCCGACGAUCCAUAGCUGGUUUGAGAGGAUGAUCAGCCACACUGGGACUGAGACACGGCCCAGACUCCUACGGGAGGCAGCAGUGGGGAAUCUUAGACAAUGGGGGAAACCCUGAUCUAGCCAUGCCGCGUGAUCGAUGAAGGCCUUAGGGUUGUAAAGAUCUUUCAGUGGGGAAGAUAAUGACUGUACCCACAGAAGAAGCCCCGGCUAACUCCGUGCCAGCCGCCGCCGUAAGAC